rnacentral:rRNA from 1 species
CCUACGGGGGGCAGCAGUGAGGAAUAUUGCCCAAUGGACGAAAGUCUGAGGCAGCAACGCCGCGUGGAGGAUGAAGGCUCUUGGGUUGUAAACUCCUUUUCUGAGGGAAGAGCAAGGACGGUACCUCAGGAAUAAGUCACGGCUAACUACGUGCCAGCAGCCGCGGUAAUACGUAGGUGACAAACGUUAUCCGGAAUUACUGGGCGUAAAGCGCACGCAGGCGGUUGAUCAAGUUCGGCGUGAAAGCUCCCGGCUUAACCGGGAGAGGUCGUUGAAAACUGAUUGGCUUGAGGCGAUGAGAGGGGUGUGGAAUUCCAGGUGUAGUGGUGGAAUGCGUAGAUAUCUGGAGGAACACCAGUGGCGAAAGCGGCACCCUGGCAUCGACCUGACGCUCAUGUGCGAAAGCGUGGGGAGCGAACGGGAUUAGAUACCCCGGUAGU